rnacentral:rRNA from 1 species
UACGUAGGGUGCGAGCGUUAAUCGGAAUUACUGGGCGUAAAGCGUGCGUAGGCGGUUCGUUAAGUUCGUUGUGAAAGCCCCGGGCUCAACCUGGGAACUGCAAUGGAAACUGGCGGGCUUGAGUGUGGCAGAGGGGGUGGAAUUCCGCGUGUAGCAGUGAAAUGCGUAGAGAUGCGGAGGAACACCGAUGGCGAAGGCAGCCCCCUGGGCCAACACUGACGCUCAGGCACGAAAGCGUGGGGAGCAAACAGG